GUGGAGCAUAGGGUUCGGGCCCAGAAUCGGCCUUUCCAUGGAGCUUGGACAUCUAUUGCUGAGGAUGCUGUAGACGCUAACUCAAACCCAGUAGUUGAUAAUUGCGGUUUUUGAUCUGAAGUUAAGGUUCCCGGCCAAACGGUAUAUGGACAGUUGUUUGUGAAAGUUAUUCUAGCAGAGUGAGCACCUGCAUGGAA